CAAUAGCGUAUAUUAACGUUGUUGCAGUUAAAAAGCUCGUAGUUGGAUCUCUGGAGGGAGCGUCGGCCCGUAUUUACGAGUGCGUGACGUCUCUGUCCAUCCUUGCGGGAAGGCACGGCAUUGAUUUGUUGUGUCGGAUCGCAUCAUUUACUGUGAAAAAAUUAGAGUGUUCAAAGCAGGCUUUCGCUUGAAUACAUUAGCAUGGAAUAAUAAGAUAGGACUUUGGUGCUAUUUUGUUGGUUGAGCCUAAAGUAAUGAUUAAUAGGGAUAGUUGGGGGCACCUGUAUUGCGUUGUCAGAGGUGAAAUUCUUGGAUUUACGCAAGACAAACAGCUGCGAAANCGNNNGCCAAGGAUGUUUUCAUNAA
rnacentral:rRNA from 1 species